AUUGAACGCUGGCGGCAGGCCUAAUACAUGCAAGUCGAACGAGUGGCGGACGGGUGAGUAAUGUCUGGGAAACUGCCCGAUGGAGGGGGAUAACUACUGGAAACGGUAGCUAAUACCGCAUACCAUCAGAUGUGCCCAGAUGGGCUUAGCUUGUGGGUGGGGUAACGGCUCACCAGGGCGACGAUCCCUAGCUGGUCGGAGAGGAUGACCAGCCAAACUGGAACGGGGACACGGUCCGGACUCCUACGGGAGGCGGAGUUGGGGAAUAUUGCACAAUGGGCGCAAGCCUGAUGCAGCCAUGCCGCGUGUAUGAGGAAGGCCUUCGGGUUGUAAAGUACUUUCAGCGGGGAGACGUUACCCACAGAGGAAGCACCGGCUAACUCCGUGCCAGCAGCCGCGGUAAUAC
rnacentral:rRNA from 1 species